CAACUUUUGGACAUUUGAGAAACUUUACUGAGUGCUCAAAGUCUUUAGGUUGCAAUUCAGCUAGAUAUUCUCCAAGGAGUUUGAAGGCGAGUCUAAGUACCAGGAAAUGGAAUGGAAAGGGCAGAGUGAGCUUGCAGCCAGCUCCAACUGGUUUUGGUGGGAAAGUGCGAGGCAUGAGAUGGAAAAUGACAUGAAUGGGAAAGGCAGGAGGUCUCGCUAUGUCUGCCAUGAAAGUUAUCCAUCAGGGAAUUUCCAUUCAAGGCAGACCAAUGUUUUGCUGCAAUAGAGGAAGACAGAGGUGUACUACCCAUGUGCUGGAGUCAGAAAGUUCCGAAUCAUCUGGAUAAUAUCCAUAGUCUGAGGUCAUUGAACUAUCCUCCAGAUUGGGUCCAGGGGUGACCAUCUCAACAGCACCUCCUCCUGAAGAGGUCUCCACAGCUUCACUGGAUGGACCCAGGACUAGAGAUUCCUGUAUUUCAGAUG